AACGAACGCUGGCGGCAUGCCUAACACAUGCAAGUCGAACGAGACCUUCGGGUCUAGUGGCGCACGGGUGCGUAACGCGUGGGAGCCUGCCCUUAGGUUCGGAAUAACUCCCCGAAAGGGGUGCUAAUACCGGAUAAUGUCUUCGGACCAAAGAUUUAUCGCCUUUGGAUGGGCCCGCGUUGGAUUAGCUAGUUGGUAGGGUAAAAGCCUACCAAGGCGACGAUCCAUAGCUGGUCUGAGAGGAUGAUCAGCCACACUGGGACUGAGACACGGCCCAGACUCCUACGGGAGGCAGCAGUGGGGAAUAUUGGACAAUGGGCGAAAGCCUGAUCCAGCAAUGCCGCGUGAGUGAUGAAGGCCUUAGGGUUGUAAAGCUCUUUUACCCGGGAUGAUAAUGACAGUACCGGGAGAAUAAGCUCCGGCUAACUCCGU
rnacentral:rRNA from 1 species